rnacentral:rRNA from 1 species
UACGUAGGUGGCAAGCGUUGUUCGGAAUUAUUGGGCGUAAAGGGCGCGUAGGCGGUUUGUUAAGUCGGCUGUGAAAGCCCGGGGCUCAACCCCGGAGGGUCAGCCGAUACUGGCAGACUAGAGUACGGAAGAGGUAGCUGGAAUUCCCGGUGUAGCGGUGAAAUGCGUAGAUAUCGGGAGGAACAUCAGUGGCGAAGGCGGCUACCUGGCCCAAUACUGACACUCAGGUGCGACAGCGUGGGGAGCAAACAGG